UGGAUGAUGAUGAAGCAAUUUUUUUUUAUAUAUAUAAUCCAACUCUUGAUUUGAGAUAUUAAUUAUCAAGUGAUGUUCAAAUCAUUGCUUUUCAAUCUGC
rfam:Gossypium raimondii Chr04_contig_978, whole genome shotgun sequence.